rnacentral:rRNA from 1 species
UACCAGCUCUCCGAGUGGUGUGGAUGUUUAUUGGGCCUAAAGCAUCCGUAGCUGGCCAAGUUAGUCCCCUGUUAAAUCCACCGAAUUAAUCGUUGGAGUGCGGGGGAUACUGCUCGGCUAGGGGACGAGAGAGGCCGGCGGUAUUUUCGGGGGUAGGGGUGAAAUCCUAUAAUCCCCGGGAAGACCACCAGUGGCGAAGGCUGUCGGCUAGAACGCGCCCGACGGUGAGGGAUGAAAGCUGGGGGAGCGAACCGGAUUAGAUACCCGGGUAGUCCCAGCUGUAAACGAUGCAGGCUAGGUGUUUGGGCGGCCACGAGCCGCUCUAGUGCCGCAGGGAGCCGUUAAGCCUGCCGCCUGGGGAUACGGCCGCAAGGCUGAAACUUAAAGGAAUUGGCGGGGGAGCACCACAAGGGGUGAAGCUUGCGGUUU